rnacentral:misc_RNA from 1 species
GAUGAAGAACGUAGCGAAAUGCGAUAAGUAAUGUGAAUUGCAGAAUUCAGUGAAUCAUCGAAUCUUUGAACGCACAUUGCGCCCGCCAGUAUUCUGGCGGGCAUGCCUGUUCGAGCGUCAUUACAACCCUCAGGCCCCCGGGCCUGGCGUUGGGGAUCGGCGGAAGCCCCCUGCGGGCACAACGCCGUCCCCCAAAUACAGUGGCGGUCCCGCCGCAGCUUCCAUUGCGUAGUAGCUAUCACCUCGCAACUGGAGAGCGGCGCGGCCACGCCGUAAAACACCCAACUUCUGAAUGUUGACCUCGAAUCAGGUAGGAAUACCCGCUGAACUUAAGCAUAUCAAUAAGCGGAGGA